rnacentral:rRNA from 1 species
GACGAACGCUGGCGGCGUGCCUAAUACAUGCAAGUAGAACGCUGAAGAGAGGAGCUUACUCUUCUUGGAUGAGUUGCGAACGGGUGAGUAGCGCGUAGGUAACCUGCCUUGUAGCGGGGGAUAACUAUUGGAAACGAUAGCUAAUACCGCAUAACAAUGGAUGACACAUGUCAUUUAUUUGAAAGGGGCAAUUGCUCCACUACAAGAUGGACCUGCGUUGUAUUAGCUAGUAGGUGAGGUAAUGGCUCACCUAGGCGACGAUACAUAGCCGACCUGAGAGGGUGAUCGGCCACACUGGGACUGAGACACGGCCCAGACUCCUACGGGAGGCAGCAGUAGGGAAUCUUCGGCAAUGGGGGCAACCCUGACCGAGCAACGCCGCGUGAGUGAAGAAGGUUGUCGGAUCGUAAAGCUCUGUUGUAAGUCAAGAACGGGUGUGAGAGUGGAAAGUUCACACUGUGACGGUAGCUUACCAGAAAGGGACGGCUAACUACGUG